UGAGCGCCCCUUUCCUUGGAGAUUAGAACAUUUUAUCCUAAGCCCCUUUCUUCAAACGUUGUAGCCCUUUUCCCCAACAUCUCCGGCUCUCCUUACCUAGCUCAUCUCUCUGGUCGGCGACGUGCCAUCUUCUCCGAUUGGUAACUUCUCUGCUUCUCCAUAUCAGGUCUGUGGUUUACUUGUUAUAAUUUUUCUACAGUUAAAAUUGUUCUACUUGUUAUAAUUUUUCUACAGUUAAAAUUGUUUGAAGACCCAUAAUAACCUAACUCCCUCUCCUUCACAUUCUCUCCUCCAUCGCUCUGAUUAAUCUGCUUCGACGUUUUCUGCUUUUCUGUUUUUUUUUUGCCAUUAAAUGUCCUGACAACUCUUUCACUCUCUGCAAUUCAUUUUUUAAAAGCUUCCUUCUCAAUAAGCGUGAAUCAGCUACUCUCUCGCUCUCAGCAAUUAACAAAGAAUCAAGAAAAUUCCAUAUAUUAUGUUUGGGCUUAGGGUUUGGUUCAAACGAAAAUGUUUUUUUAUUUUUUAUUUUGCUUUUUGUUACUUGCGGCUUCAAUGCUGGAAAUAGAGCAAGAACAUUCUUAAUCAUUUGAUUUAUGAAUGCAUUUCUUCAAUUUCAAAUAUGUUGAUAGCUUGGUACUUCUUCAAGAACACUCUUAACUUUUUCUUCUUUAAAAGAAAAUUUCGAUUCUUGUUCAGGCAUAUUUCAUUACUCUCAUCGGUUAUACAAAUUUGUUAUUUGUAAGGUUUUUGUCUAAAAUAGUGGUUUCCCUCCUUAUAAGGUUUUGCUUACGAUGGGUUUGGUUCGUUACGUUAUAGCGAGUGAGGAUUUCAGGUGAAUGAAUUUUCCAACUUGUGGUUGUUGAAUGGUUUGAUUGGGGAUUUUGUAUUGUUUUGGUGGAGCUUAAAGGUCUGUUAUGCAAAUUGGGGAUGUUGCAUUUUUAUGCAGAAUUAGUUGGUCAUGACUAUUGGUAAGGACAUUGUAAUAUUGAGGUUUGCUAUCUAAAAUUUUGUUCUAUUGCUAUAUAUGGAAAAUUGUUGCAAAAGGCCAUUGUAAAAUCUAUUUCUCGUCAUUUUAGUAGCUCAUGGUACUUUAUAGUUCAACCAAAAAUCUGUGCUUUCUUUUUGUAUUGGUUCUCAUUCGUACUUGUUUUUGGGCUUGUUGGUCUAGCUGGGUUUUUAAGAAAGACUAAAGCAUGAGGGAUUAUGUUGAGUAGAGAUGAUUUUUAGGAGGGAUUAUGUUGAUAUAGGCAUUUCUACGGGAUUUAGUGUAUUGGAGCAACGUGGUGCAAUUUGAAUUCUCAGUGUAGACUUCUUUUUCAGCUUUGUUUUGUUUGAUCCUUUAGGUGGCUGCUCCAAAAACUUUUUAUUUCUUUUUUAUUGUUAGUUUUAAGAAAAAUAUAAAUAAAACAUAUGAGAGUGAGGGCUAGGGUGAUGAAUGCCUAAUGUGUUGAGUUACCAACCUUAGCUGUGUUUGCAAUUUACUUUUCUUGGUUUCUGUUGGCACUUGAUAUUUAGUUUCUGUUUGGCUUUUAUGGUGUUCAGUUUGUAAAUUUUUGCUCUUUAUUGAACUUUACCAGUUACAUUAGAAACAACGGACUUAGUGAUAGAUACCUGGUUCUGAAUGCAAUGGAAAAAAAAGCAAGGAAAGAAGAUGUAGUCAUUACCCUGCUAUUUCUAAUGUGAAAAUGUAUUGCUAUGUAUAAGGCUUUUUGGAAGGUAGCAUUUAGGUAUGUACUUAGUUUUGGUAAGAUAAGAAGAGAUGAUUUUUAGAAACCCAAAAAUCAUGUGCACAGUCUUUCCUUUUUUUUAAAAAAUAAAUAAAUAAAUAAAUAAAAUCAUACAUAUGUGCUAAUAGCUAGGCUUUCUGGUGUUGUUAUGAUAUAACUUAAAGGCCUUUCACAAUUUAUAUAUAUAUAUAUAUAUAUAUUUUAUAUAAAUGUGUUUUUGUUAGUAGAAAGUAUAUAUAUAUAUUUUAUGAAUGUGUUUUUGUUAGUAGAAAGUAACAAGGUAGAGUAGUGGUAAGAAGGUAUAUGUGUUAUAGAGUGCGAAUAAGAAGGGUAUCUAUGGUUGUAUAGGUUAAGGAUUGAUACAGCUAUGCAAAUUCCUUCAGAAAGGUAUCUAUGUUUGCAUAGGUUAAGGAUACAGCUAUGCAGAUUCCUUCACUUGUUAUAAACUAUCUUAUCUUUGGUCAUCUUAUACUAAUUAAUUAUCUAAUAAUGUUAUCUUAAACUAGUUACUUAUUCUAUAUAAGUUCAAUUUCUUAUUUUCUAACACCAAUAAGAAACAAGUGAAAUUAGACAAGAAAAAAUUGACUGGUCACAGCCAUGAUUUGGACGCUCACAUUUAUAUACUGGUUUAUUACUUUCUUAAAUGUUUUGUUGGAUUCCCCUACAGGUGCCAAAACCCACUUGUUCAUGUUUUAUAUGGGCCAACCAUACAUUGAACUAAAUCUCUAAUUUGUAAGUUAUUGGGAUUCUAAAGUUUUAACUUCUUUUUUUCUUUUUCUUUUUUUCCUAAAUUAGAUUGUAGAUCAAUAAUUUUUUGGCAGAAUUGGCAUGUUUGGCUUUGUAUUUGAUUUAUGAAAGGAGCAAGAAAAAAAGUAUUUUUGGAACCCCUAUAUUAGAGAGCUUGAUUGCCACUGAGGGAGGGGCCAAUUGGCUAUGGAAUCUCCUCUUUUAUGGUUAGGUGCUGAACUGGCUUAUCUUACUGUUAGUCUUACAAAUGUACUUGUGCUUUUUCUAAACUUUUUCAAGAUAGCUGGUGCUACUGUUUCCUUAUAUACCUUCAUCAGGCAUAUUAAUUGAACAUCUUGCAUCACAAUACUGCAUUUUGGUUGUGUGGGUCAGGAUGAAGUUCUUUAGACAGCUAAAGGAAUUCAAAGUCUAUAUGACAAGCUUGUCGCUGUCUGGUUUAUGGUUGGGUCUCUGUUUCACAUGAUACUCUUACGUAUUUUGAAUUGACAUUUUCAUAAUUUAUAAUGUUAUUUAAAUUUUUUUUUUCUAUAAUUCCCUUUUGUAGCAAUACCCUUACGAUAAGAUCUUGUCACUUGAGAAUUUAUGUUCUAAAAAUUAGAUUAUGUUAAUCAAACAGAAGUAAAGCUACAUGAUUUUGCUUUUUAUUUUUGAUGUGAUUUUGUUCAUACUCAUAGCUUGAGUAAGAAUUCUACAUAUUACUUGGUUCUGAUUCAUAUUACAGUUGGAUGAGAAAAAGUGAUGAUUGACUAACACUUUAUAUUGUGUUUGUGUUUAUAUAUGUUCUUUUGCUUAAUCUCCAAAGACGAAGUGAUAGUUUUCUUCUAGAUGAUUUAGCUUUAUUUUUCAAAUAGUGAAAUGAAUCUCACUGGUUUAUGCAGAUGAUUAUCUAUCGAUUCUUUACAAUGUUUUGCUGUCUUUUUUAUUGGUUCAAUAUUUUAUUUCUUUGCGAUAUGAUUCUUAGUAGGAAUUUCCCUGAUAAAAGAAAGGCUAAUCAAACUUGUUUGGCCUUAUUCCAUAUGAAGGCGUUUCAUGCAGCUGAAAGGCAAACGGUACCAGAAGCAAAAGUGGAAAAUGGAGCAUGAAAUGAUGAUGGUAAUGCAAGUAGAUUUCAAGAACUUAAGGACAAGACCAAGUUUUUAAUGCACUUGAUCACAUAUGUGUUAGAGAUUAGUGCAACAAUUCUUUGUGCUUGUACACAUUUAUAUCAUAUUUUUGUAUUAUGUAAUAACAAUUACAGUUUUAAUAAAAUAUUAUUUAAAAUUUUAGUAUUAUAAAAAAAUUAA